GAUGAACGCUGGCGGCGUGCCUAAUACAUGCAAGUCGAGCGAACGGACGAGAAGCUUGCUUUUCUGAUGUUAGCGGCGGACGGGUGAGUAACACGUGGAUAACCUACCUAUAAGACUGGGAUAACUUCGGGAAACCGGAGCUAAUACCGGAUAAUAUUUUGAACCGCAUGGUUCAAAAGUGAAAGACGGUCUUGCUGUCACUUAUAGAUGGAUCCGCGCUGCAUUAGCUAGUUGGUAAGGUAACGGCUUACCAAGGCAACGAUGCAUAGCCGACCUGAGAGGGUGAUCGGCCACACUGGAACUGAGACACGGUCCAGACUCCUACGGGAGGCAGCAGAAGGGAAUCUUCCGCAAUGGGCGAAAGCCUGACGGAGCAACGCCGCGUGAGUGAUGAAGGUCUUCGGAUCGUAAAACUCUGUUAUUAGGGAAGAACAUAUGUGUAAGUAACUGUGCACAUCUUGACGGUACCUAAUCAGAAAGCCACGGAUAACUACGUG
rnacentral:rRNA from 1 species